UUAAAACUUUUAACAACGGAUCUCUUGGUUCUGGCAUCGAUGAAGAACGCAGCGAAAUGCGAUAAGUAAUGUGAAUUGCAGAAUUCAGUGAAUCAUCGAAUCUUUGAACGCACAUUGCGCCCGCCAGCAUUCUGGCGGGCAUGCCUGUUCGAGCGUCA
rnacentral:rRNA from 1 species